UACCACGUGAACGAUGAAGGUCUUCUGAUUGUAAAGUUCUUUUAUUUAGGAAAAAAAGCGCGCUAGGAAAUGAGCGCGCCUUGAUGGUACUAAUUGAAUAAGUGACAGCUAACUAUGUGCCAGCAGCUGCGGUAAAACAUAGGUCACAAGCAUUAUCCGGAUUUAUUGGGCGUAAAGGAAGCGUAGGCGGGAAGGUUGAUCCAUUGUUAAAGGCAUUUGCUUAACAAAUGUAUGCGAUGGAGAUCGCCUUCCUAGAAUUAAUCAGGGGGUACUGGAAUUCAAUGUGUAGCGGUGGAAUGCGUAGAUAUAUUGAGGAACACCAGAGGCUAAGGCAAGUACCUGGGAUAUAAUUGACGCUGAGGCUUGAAAGCGUGGGGAGCAAAUGGGAUUAGAUACCCCAGUAGUCCACGCCGUAAACGAUGAGCAUUAGGUAUUUGACGCUAUGUCGAGUGCUGUAGCUAACGCGUUAAAUGCUCCGCCUGGGUAGUAUAUAUGCAAAUAUGAAACUCAAAGAAAUUGACGGGGACCU
rnacentral:rRNA from 1 species